AGGGGAAGCCGGUCGGAAUCCGGCGCUGACCCGCAACCGUAGGCCCGCCACCGCGCGGGCGAGCCGGAAUGCCU
rnacentral:ncRNA from 1 species